rnacentral:rRNA from 1 species
CGGAUUGUAGUCUGCAACCCGACUACAUGAAGCUGGAAUCGCUAGUAAUCGCGAAUCAGAAUGUCGCGGUGAAUACGUUCCCGGGUCUUGUACACACCGCCCGUCACACCAUGGGAGUCGGAAAUGCCCGAAGUCAGUGACCCAACCGUAAGGAGGGAGCUGCCGAAGGUGGAGCCGGUAACUGGGGUGAAGUCGUAACAAGGUACC